UAGUACGGCGAGUGAAGAGGGAAGAGCCCAAGAUUGAAAGCUGGCGCCUUCGGCGUCCGCAUUGUAAUCUCAAGAAGUGUUUUCCGCUUCGGACCAUGCCUAAGUCCCUUGGAAAAGGGCAUCAUAGAGGGUGAUAAUCCCGUACAUGGCAUGGAGCGCCCGAAGCUUUGUGAUACGCUUUCUAAGAGUCGAGUUGUUUGGGAAUGCAGCUCAAAAUGGGUGGUAAAUGCCAUCUAAGGCUAAAUAUUGGGGAGAGACCGAUAGCGAACAAGUACAGUGAUGGAAAGAUGAAAAGAACUUUGAAAAGAGAGUUAAACAGUACGUGAAAUUGCCAAAAGGGAAGGGUAGGAGGUCAGAGAUGCGUCGCAGGAUUUAGCCUUGCUUUUGCUUGGUGUUUUUCCUGCGUUGCAGGCCAACGUCGGUUUUGGGCACUGGAGAAGGGUAGGAGGAACGUGGCACCUCUCGGGGUGUGUUAUAGCCUCCUACUGGAUACAGCGACCGAGACCGAGGAACGCAGCGUACUCGUAAGAGCGGGCCUUUUGGCACCUUUACGCUUAGGGCGUUGGCAUAAUGGCCCUCUACCACCCGUCUUGA
rnacentral:rRNA from 1 species